rnacentral:tRNA from 1 species
AGCUCAGUCGGUAGAGCAGACGGACUGUUAAUCCGCAGGUCGCUGGUUCAAGUCCAGCAGGAGGAGCCA